AAUCCUUGAUGUGGACACAAUCUGAGCAUACUUUUGAAUCUAUCCCACACUUCAUAAAGAGAAUCUGUAUUAGCCUAUUUGAAGUUAGCAAUCUAAUUUCUUAUCU